UUUACCCCUCUGCAAAAUGGAAAGGAUGUCUCUGGCUGCUGCUUAUUCUGAGAUUUUGGCUCCAAUCCUGAAAGCUGAGUUCCUGGAGAAGCCUCCAAGACAGAAGUCAGCUGGAGACCACGAGAAUCCAGAUCCUCUAAGUCCUGUCUUUGGGCUUUGGAGACUUCAGCACAGCAAAAGGAACUCAGAACAUAUAAACUGAAAAAAACGCCUCGAGGAAUUUACACUCUAGUCGGGGAAAAAAACUAAUCCAUGUCCCCUGGAAAUAUGUCAGGACCGCAAUGAUAAUUACAAAUGGGGCAUUAAGAGGAAGAGAUGAGGCAGGAGUUAACAGAAUAGACUGGAGAAAAGAGCUCCUCCUGCCCCUGAGAGGGCUCCAGCUGCUCCUGACCCUGGGCCUGGCUGUUCAUCUUCUCUUCAGCUUCAAUCUCUUCUGAUGUGGGGAUGGAGUUCUUCUUGGGGCGACCUUUGGGUUUUGUGGGUGCUUCCUGUCCACCUUUAAGAACCUACGGUGACAGUGAGGGUGACCAACAGAUAAUGUGUAUGAAAGGACCAGAACGGCACCUGAAUGCUAACACACAGAUAUUAAGGGGACCUUUAACGAGGUAGAGAUGCUGACAGAAACCAACCCUGGGGAGAAGACGUUCCCUGUAUUUCUUUUCACCUUUAUAGGGCAGCGAGGGCCACAUAACUGAUGACUGUUUCCAUGAAGCUGAGAAACAAGUUUGGAUUCCCCAGCAUGAAUCUCCUCCCAGACACUGCUGCUCCCAUUAGCUGACUUUCUCAGCCUGAAGAUGUGAUGUUCCACUGGACCUCAGGCAAGGCCCCAAAUGCCAAGGCGCUGACUUGGAGAUGACUGGGGAGCAGGGACUGAGAAAGGACAAAUGCUCAGGGCUGUGCGGAGUCCCUGAAACUCAUAGAAUUCACUUUUGGCUUAUGUAUCCUGGCCUCCAAAUAUUUGGAUUCUCUGAAGACAUGGAUUUUGUGGCUAGGUCUUCACCUGCAGCUGAGUGAGUCCCAGAGACUGAGCCAAGUCCAACCUAGAAGGCACAAGAUACAAAGGAAAGAAUCCAACAGAGGAAACUCUGGGAAGCUGAGAAACAGAUGCCCAUGCCUGAGGACACCUGGGCCAGUCCCCA
rnacentral:lncRNA from 1 species